UUCUUAUCAAGAGAGACGGAGGGGAUGGCCCGAAGAAGUCUCAGCAACCAGCCAAGUUUGGUCAGGUGCUAAUUCCAUCAAGUCAUGAGACUUGAAAGAUAAGAA
rnacentral:ncRNA from 2 species